rnacentral:rRNA from 2 species
UAAUUCUAGAGCUAAUAUUUAAAAAAAUGCUGUGACUUCGGAAGCAGCGGAUUUAUUAGAUCAAAACCAACCUGUCGCAAGACGGAUUUUUGAUGACUCUGGAUAACUUUACUGAUCGUACGGCCUUGUGUUGACGACAUAUCUCUUGAAAAGGCUGACCUAUCAACUUUCGAUGGUAAGAUCAAAGCUUACCAUGGUUGUAACGGGUAACGGGGAAUCAGUGUUCGAUUCCGGAGAGGGAGCCUGAGAAACGGCUACCACAUCUACGGAAGGCAGCAGGCGCGUAAAUUACCCAAUACCGGCUCGGUGAGGUAGUGACAAAAAAUAACAAUAUGGGCCCUAGUGGUUUCAUAAUUGCAAUGAGAACAUUUUAAAUACUUUAUCAAGUAUCAAUUGGAGUAUAUGCUGGUGGCUCUUCACUGGGUCGCUGGCGUAACCGGCAAGUUUACUUUGAAAAAAUUAGAGUGCUUAAAGCAGGCUUACGCUUGUAUAUUGUUGCAUGGAAUAAUGGAAUAAGACUUCGGUUUUAUUUUGUUGGUUUUCGAAACUGAAGUAAUGAUUAAAAGAGACUGCCGGGGGCAUAUGUAUGCUGGUGUGAGAGGUGAAAUUCUAAGAUCAUCAGCAGACAAACUACUGCGAAAGCAUUUGCCAAGAAUGUUUUCAUUAAUCAAGAACGAAAGUCAGAGGAUCGAAGACGAUCAGAUACCGUCCUAGUUCUGACCAUAAACUAUGCCAACUGACAGUCCGCAAAGGUAUCUCAAAAUAUCCUMGCGAGAAGUCACCGGGAAACCUAAGUCUAUGGGUUCCGGGGGAAGUAUGGUUGCAAAGCUGAAACUUAAAGGAAUUGACGGAAGGGCACCACCAGGAGUGGAGCCUGCGGCUUAAUUUGACUCAACACGGGAAAUCUCACCCGGUCCGGACACUGUGAGGAUUGACAGAUUGAUAGCUCUUUCUUGAUUCGGUGGGUGGUGGUGCAUGGCCGUUCUUAGUUGGUGGAGCGAUUUGUCUGGUUAAUUCCGAUAACGAACGAGACUCUAUUCUGCUAAAUAGUACAUUGGUACCAAGAAGCUAAUUCGUGACUUCUUAGAGAAAUAAGUGGCUUUAAAGCUAAGAGAAAUGGAGCAAUAACAGGUCUGUGAUGCCCUUAGAUGUCCGGGGCCGCACGCGCGCUACAAUGGCAGUAUCAGCGAGUUGUUAUYCUGKCCCGAAAGGGUCGGGUAAUCUUGUGAAACACUGUCGUGUCAGGAAUAGUGGAUUGAAAUUUUCCCACUUGAACGAGGAAUUCCUAGUAAGCGCAAGUCACUAACUUGCGCUGAUUACGUCCCUGCCCUUUGUACACACCGCCCGUCGCUACU